UAUGUGAAUUUCAGGAAGUGGAAUCAAUGCAUGCGGGGGCCCACAACCUCCACACAACACGGGGGCGUGGGUCAACCCCCCAGGUGCGUGGUGGUGCUGUGUGGCCGCCCCUUAAGUCGGUUGGGACUCUACUUCGGGAGCAAGGAAGCUUAUAUCCAGAAAAAAAUUGUGUUAAAUAUUCAGCACAAAUGGAGUUACAGAUCUCCAUAUAUUUAAGAAAGGGUGAAAGGCCAGAAUUUGGGAACACGAAAUAGAAGAGAACAGAAAGGGAGAUCCAAUCUCGGAGGGGCUCCCACCCCUCUACCGCCAUGGAGGCCAUGUACCAGAGGGGAAACUCUCUUCCCAUCUAGGUGGAGGCCAAGGAAGAAGAAUAAGGAGGGGGCUCUCUCUCCCUCUCUCCCAGUGGCGCAGAGUGCCUCCAGGGCAAUCAUCGUGACGGCGAUCUACACCAACAAUCUUGCCAUCGUCAACACCAACUCUCUCCCCCUCU
rnacentral:lncRNA from 1 species